rnacentral:rRNA from 1 species
GACGAACGCUGGCGGCGUGCUUAACACAUGCAAGUCGAACGGAAAGGCCCUGCUUUUGUGGGGUGCUCGAGUGGCGAACGGGUGAGUAACACGUGAGUAACCUGCCCUUGACUUUGGGAUAACUUCAGGAAACUGGGGCUAAUACCGGAUAGGAGCUCCUGCUGCAUGGCGGGGGUUGGAAAGUUUCGGCGGUUGGAGAUGGACUCGCGGCUUAUCAGCUUGUUGGUGGGGUAGUGGCUUACCAAGGCUUUGACGGGUAGCCGGCCUGAGAGGGUGACCGGCCACAUUGGGACUGAGAUACGGCCCAGACUCCUACGGGAGGCAGCAGUGGGGAAUAUUGCACAAUGGGCGGAAGCCUGAUGCAGCAACGCCGCGUGCGGGAUGACGGCCUUCGGGUUGUAAACCGCUUUCGCCUGUGACGAAGCGUGAGUGACGGUAAUGGGUAAAGAAGCACCGGCUAACUACGUG